AGAGUUUGAUCCUGGCUCAGGACAAACGCUGGCGGCGUGCCUAACACAUGCAAGUCGAGCGCGAAAGGGACCUUCGGGUCCCCUGAAAGCGGCGAACGGGUGAGUAACACGUGGGCAGCCUGCCUCAAGGACUGGGAUAACUCCGGGAAACCGGGGCUAAUACCGGGCGAUGUCGUCUGGCGCAAGCCGGCCGACCAAAUGGUAGCUUCGGCCUCCGCCUUGAGAUGGGCCCGCGUCCUAUCAGCUUGUUGGUGAGGUAAUGGCUCACCAAGGCUACGACGGGUAGCUGGUCUGAGAGGAUGAUCAGCCACACUGGGACUGAGAUACGGCCCAGACUCCUACGGGAGGCAGCAGUGGGGAAUUUUGCGCAAUGGGCGAAAGCCUGACGCAGCAACGCCGCGUGAGCGAAGAAGGCCUUCGGGUUGUAAAGCUCUGUCAGGGGGAAAGAAGGCACCUGGGUUAAUAGCCCAAGGGCUGACGGUACCCCCAAAGGAAGCCACGGCUAACUACGUGCCAGCAGCCGCGGUAAUACGUAGGUGGCGAGCGUUGUCCGGAAUCAUUGGGCGUAAAGAGCGCGUAGGUGGCUUGUCAGGUCUGAUGUGAAAUCCUGGGGCUCAACUCCAGAACUGCAUCGGAAACCGGCUUGCUAGAGUCUGGGAGAGGAGAGUGGAAUUCCUGGUGUAGCGGUGAAAUGCGUAGGUAUCAGGAGGAACACCGGUAGCGAAGGCGGCUCUCUGGAACAGUACUGACACUGAGGCGCGAAAGCUAGGGGAGCGAACAGGAUUAGAUACCCUGGUAGUCCUAGCCGUAAACGAUGGACACUAGGUGUCGGGGGUGUCGACUCCCUCGGUGCCGAAGCUAACGCAUUAAGUGUCCCGCCUGGGGAGUACGGCCGCAAGGCUAAAACUUAAAGGAAUUGACGG
rnacentral:rRNA from 1 species